rnacentral:rRNA from 1 species
GAUGAACGCUGGCGGCGUGCCUAAUACAUGCAAGUAGAACGCUGAAGCUUGGUGCUUGCACCGAGCGGAUGAGUUGCGAACGGGUGAGUAACGCGUAGGUAACCUGCCUCUUAGCGGGGGAUAACUAUUGGAAACGAUAGCUAAUACCGCAUAAAAGUCGACAUCGCAUGAUAUUGAUUUGAAAGGUGCAAUUGCAUCACUAAGAGAUGGACCUGCGUUGUAUUAGCUAGUUGGUGAGGUAACGGCUCACCAAGGCGACGAUACAUAGCCGACCUGAGAGGGUGAUCGGCCACACUGGGACUGAGACACGGCCCAGACUCCUACGGGAGGCAGCAGUAGGGAAUCUUCGGCAAUGGGGGCAACCCUGACCGAGCAACGCCGCGUGAGUGAAGAAGGUUUUCGGAUCGUAAAGCUCUGUUGUAAGAGAAGAACGAGUGUGAGAGUGGAAAGUUCACACUGUGACGGUAACUUACCAGAAAGGGACGGCUAACUACGUGCCAGCAGCCGCGGUAAUACGUAGGUCCCGAGCGUUAUCCGGAUUUAUUGGGCGUAAAGCGAGCGCAGGCGGUUAGAUAAGUCUGAAGUUAAAGGCUGUGGCUUAACCAUAGUACGCUUUGGAAACUGUUUAACUUGAGUGCAGAAGGGGAGAGUGGAAUUCCAUGUGUAGCGGUGAAAUGCGUAGAUAUAUGGAGGAACACCGGUGGCGAAAGCGGCUCUCUGGUCUGUAACUGACGCUGAGGCUCGA